rnacentral:rRNA from 1 species
AGUGAACGCUGGCGGUAGGCCUAACACAUGCAAGUCGAACGGCAGCACAGUAAGAGCUUGCUCUUACGGGUGGCGAGUGGCGGACGGGUGAGGAAUACAUCGGAAUCUACUUUUUCGUGGGGGAUAACGUAGGGAAACUUACGCUAAUACCGCAUACGACCUACGGGUGAAAGAAGGGGAUCUUCGGACCUUGCGCGAUCGAAUGAGCCGAUGUCGGAUUAGCUAGUUGGCGGGGUAAAGGCCCACCAAGGCGACGAUCCGUAGCUGGUCUGAGAGGAUGAUCAGCCACACUGGAACUGAGACACGGUCCAGACCCCUACGGGAGGCAGCAGUGGGGAAUAUUGGACAAUGGGCGCAAGCCUGAUCCAGCCAUACCGCGUGAGUGAAGAAGGCCUUCGGGUUGUAAAGCCCUUUUGUUGGGAAAGAAAAGCAGCAUGUUAAUACCCCGCUGUUCUGACGGUACCCAAAGAAUAAGCACCGGCUAACUUCGUG